GCUUCAGUAAGAAGGGCAAGCUUCCAGAGAUUGGUUGUGAACAGGAAUAUAGUGAUAUGCAGUCAGUUUUGCUCAGCAUGCUUGAAGGCACAGAAAAAUAAGUGGCAGUGGAUUCAUGUACCUCAUCAAUACAGUGUGACAGGACACAUGCUAAGGAAUUGCAAGUCAUCAGAUCACUGCACAGUCUACUGGUCUCUAGGAAGUUUCUCUUUUUGUCAGACCCAGAGUAUGCAGAAAAUCACUCUGCUGAUGGCAAUGAAUAACUGAAUAGCUGUCUCCUCUAUGAAGCCAAGGAUAAACCUAUGAAAGAGGAUAUGUUGAACCUUUCUGUCCUCAGGAGGAGCAGCUGCUCCCCAGGAAGUAUGGAAUUUCCCCCAGUCUGGCCCCCUUUCUCUAGAGAAAUCCAUCUAAAUCUGUCAAAAUUCUUAAAGGAAAGCAGGAAACAAAAUGAGAAUAAACAUAUAAAUCAUGCAUGAGCUACCACAUGGAGCCAUC
ensembl:lncRNA